UGGGGAAUAUUGGACAAUGGGCGCAAGCCUGAUCCAGCAAUGCCGCGUGUGUGAAGAAGGCCUUCGGGUUGUAAAGCACUUUUAUCAGGAGCGAAACGCUGUCGGCUAAUACCCGGCGGAACUGACGGUACCUGAGGAAUAAGCACCGGCUAACUUCGUGCCAGCAGCCGCGGUAAUACGAAGGGUGCAAGCGUUAAUCGGAAUUACUGGGCGUAAAGCGUGCGUAGGCGGUUUCUUAAGUCUGCUGUGAAAUCCCCGGGCUCAACCUGGGAAUGGCAGUGGAUACUGGGAGGCUAGAGUGUGUCAGAGGGUGGUGGAAUUCCCGGUGUAGCGGUGAAAUGCGUAGAGAUCGGGAGGAACAUCAGUGGCGAAGGCGGCCACCUGGGACAACACUGACGCUGAGGCACGAAAAGCGUGGGGAGCAAACAGGAUUAGAUACCCUGGUAGUCCACGCCCUAAAACGAUGCGAACUGGAUGUUGGUCUCAACUCGGAGAUCAGUGUCGAAGCUAACGCGUUAAGUUCGCCGCCUGGGGAGUACGGUCGCAAGACUGAAACUUAAAUGAAUUGAC
rnacentral:rRNA from 1 species